ACAGGCGUAGCAAUACGUGCUGACGAGCGGCGAACGGGUGAGUAAUGCUUCGGAAUCUUCCUCGUAGUGGGGAAUAACCUGGGGAAACUCAGGCUAAUACCGCAUACGAACUACGGUUGAAAGCAGGGGAUCGCAAGACCUUGCGCUAUGAGAUGAGCCGAAGUCGGAUUAGCUAGUUGGUGGGGUAAAGGCCUACCAAGGCGACGAUCCGUAGCUGGUCUGAGAGGACGACCAGCCACACUGGGACUGAGACACGGCCCAGACUCCUACGGGAGGCAGCAGUGGGGAAUAUUGGACAAUGGGGGCAACCCUGAUCCAGCGACGCCGCGUGUGUGAAGAAGGCCUGCGGGUUGUAAAGCACUUUUAGUGGGGACAAAAAGCCGAGGGUUAAUACCCGUCGGUCUUGAUUUAACCCAAAGAAAAAGCACCGGCUAACUCUGUGCCAGCAGCCGCGGUAAUAAGGGCGAAUUCGCCCU
rnacentral:rRNA from 1 species